GGAUCUGUCGUACAACAGCUUUUCAGAAGUUAGCUUCGGAGUGCAUAAGCGAGAUCAUCUGAACUUGUUUGCCUGCUGCAGCAGUUCAAGUUCAACCGAUCCAGAUCAACUGUUUGUGGAUCCAAAGAAACGCAUGCAUACGCAUUGUCCUGGACGAAAAU